rnacentral:rRNA from 1 species
CCUACGGGCGGCAGCAGUGAGGAAUAUUGGUCAAUGGACGGAAGUCUGAACCAGCCAUGCCGCGUGAAGGAAGACGGCUCUAUGAGUUGUAAACUGCUUUUGUACAAGGGUAAACCUGAAUACGUGUAUUCAGCUGAAAGUACUGUACGAAUAAGGAUCGGCUAACUCCGUGCCAGCAGCCGCGGUAAUACGGAGGAUCCAAGCGUUAUCCGGAUUUAUUGGGUUUAAAGGGUGCGUAGGCGGAUUGAUAAGUUAGAGGUGAAAUGUCCGAGCUUAACUCGGGAAUUGCCUCUAAGACUGUGGAUCUUGAGAGUAGAUGCGGUAGGCGGAAUGUAUGGUGUAGCGGUGAAAUGCUUAGAGAUCAUACAGAACACCGAUUGCGAAGGCAGCUUACCAAUCUAUAUCUGACGUUGAGGCACGAAAGCGUGGGGAGUAAACAGGAUUAGAUACCCUGGUAGUC